rnacentral:rRNA from 1 species
UGCCAGCAGCCGCGGUAAGACGGACCGUGCAUGCGUUGUUCGGAAUUACUGGGCGUAAAGCGCGCGUAGGCGGCUUUUUAAGUCAGAUGUGAUAGUCCACGGCUCAACCGUGGAAGUGCAUUUGAAACUGGGAGGCUUGAGUAUUGGAGGGGGUGGUGGAAUUCCCGGUGUAGAGGUGAAAUUCGUAGAUAUCGGGAGGAAUACCGGUGGCGAAGGCGACCACCUGGCCAAAUACUGACGCUGCGAUGCCAAAGCGUGGGGAGCAAACAGGAUUAGAUA